UCUGCCAUCACGUCUCGGUUGCAAAAAAAACACACAUCACGUCUCCAACUUCAACCAUAGCGCCCCCUCCCCCAGCCGCCACAGAACUCCUCCCUAUUCCCAUCGCCGCCACCGCCGCCUGUCGUUCCUCCUCUGCUAUCGAGGGCGCGAGCGAACGGAACCAACCACCGAAGUAACCGGAGCGGAAAACAGCGGUGGAAUGGGGAGAUGGCGUUUGCGGCGGCGGGGGAGGAGACGGGGCGGGCGUCCUACAUCCGGGAAGGAUCCCAAGGGCCGGGUCAUCUCCGCCACAACGCGCACCGAUGUCGCGGCGCGCCUCGGCGAGCUUCGCGACCAGAUCCUCGCCCGCCGCGCCUCCUUCACCAACCUCGCCGCCCAACACUCCGGCUGCUCCUCCGUGCACGCGGCAGCGACCUAGGUAUACCUCCACUUGCCCCGCCUACGCGCUCUGCAGGCUGUCAGAUAGGGUCUCGGAUCGUGGAGAAUCGGGAUGCACCAACCCAUGAAGAGCUCGACAGCGCGGAGGUCCUCUCCGGUCAGGACUACGUGACCAGCCCUAGAUGCACCGCUGAGCCAAGAACUUCUCUGUUCUUUUUCUUCUUCUGUUAACCAGCCAAAACAUUUUUUCUGAAAACAAUCUGGUUUGUGAUGAACCAACAACACAAAUAAUGGUUCUCUCCGGCUCUUUUCUUCAAAGCAAUCUGAGGAAAGGGUGCGAAGGAAAUUGGAGCAUAGGCAUAGGCAACGGAAAAUUGCUCAGGAAUAUCUCCAUCUUAUGCUUACUGCUUUGAUGCACAGUCACUAUAAAAAGGGUCAAAACAAUUAGUGAGAUACUUCUCUGGAUAUAGAGCUCAUUGACACACGCCUAUAGUAUGUGGUUGAACAUUCAUUACCUUGUGGUUGGUACUUUGUCCCAGCCUCCCAAUCUUAAAUCUGAAGUUGUUCUGUAUGGGGGAGUAUUGUAUGACUGUGUUUCCAGGCUUAAAUCUGAAAUUGUUGUGUACUAUAUGUGCAUGCAGUGUGUAUGGUAUAACCAAUCGAUGUGCAGAAGUUAGCAUGAACCGAAGGGCAAUCAGUGCGCCACCGGAAGGCUCGGCAGUGCUUAUCGCCGGAGCUACACUACCAGCAAUGGCAUCCAAAUCUUCAAUAACGAUCAAGGUAUAUACAGUGUACACACAAAGAGGUCCACAUGUAAUUAUCUAAUUAUUGGAUGCAUCAGAUUAACGUGUUGAAUGAAUCACAUGUGUAUACUUAAGACAAAUGCAUUAAUGAUUAGUCAUUUUUCUGUUUAUCCAUUAUACAUGUCCUCCAAGGUAACCAUGUACACUUGAGCCCAAGUACAAUGCUGCCAUCUAACGCCGCCUGCAAUUUUUUAGCUCCAGGAACUUGGACCGUCCUGCAAGAAGAAUUAGUUGAAAAGGUUGGUCUAUGCUACUUGUCUAAGGCUGAGUAUAUGCUCUUUGUUGUUAAUUGCAGUGAUAGUAACUAUGAUUGAAUUGCUAAGGUGAAAAACUGACAACUAUUUUGCUUGAUGAGCUUACUCUUGUUCAUCACAUUGCAUACCUCUUACAUGGAAAUCAUCGAAUGUUCACACAUAUGUAUGUCCUUUCGUUCUCAUUUCCUACUUUUUAUUUCGAUCUUCCGUUUUGUGUGGAUAAUCCAAUUUCUUAUAUUGUCAAUGGAUCUAAAACAUUUUCACUUCUGAAUCAUAUUUCAAACUGAUAGUGCAGCUUCGAUGGCCUUUUAUUCCAUGCCGACAACUGUAUUUUGUACCAUUAAAAAGAUAUAACUACAUUUUAUUCCUGAGAGAGCAAUCUUAUAGGGGAAUAUAGUGUUUUGUUUGUGCACUCUCAUUUGGCAUCUUACUAUUUGUCUAUGUAUGACAGUUCUCACAUUAGAUGAUGCAGAAUAUGUGUAUAUUUUUACCAAGGAGUUCUAAUGAUUUGAAGACUGCAUAUGUGCAGAUCUAGAAACUCUUUCUUCCCCAGAUGGGCAAUGGGUCAAGCCGAUCCGUCGUUGGCUCUGAAAGUGCACAUGCAUUGCUUCUGUACACUACUAAUGAUUCGAGGAUUAUAUUUCUUAAUAACCCAAUUUUUUUUACUGUAAUGGCAACCAUGAUCAACUUUACAGAAAGCCAGGGUUAGUCACAAUUGUCUUUUAUUUCCUCACAAAGGUGCUAGGUACAGAUCAAAUUAAUGUUUACACUCGAA